GUAGGUGGCAAGCGUUGUCCGGAUUUACUGGGUAUAAAGGGCGUGUAGCCGGGCCGGCAAGUCAGAUGUGAAAUCCCAAGGCUCAACCUUGGAACUGCAUUUGAAACUGUUGGUCUUGAGUAUCGGAGAGGCAGGCGGAAUUCCUAGUGUAGCGGUGAAAUGCGUAGAUAUUAGGAGGAACACCAGUGGCGAAGGCGGCCUGCUGGACGACAACUGACGGUGAGGCGCGAAAGCGUGGGGAGCAAA
rnacentral:rRNA from 1 species